AGCGAACGCUGGCGGCAGGCCUAACACAUGCAAGUCGAACGAAGUCUUCGGACUUAGUGGCGGACGGGUGAGUAACACGUGGGAACGUGCCUUUAGGUUCGGAAUAACUCAGGGAAACUUGUGCUAAUACCGAAUGUGCCCUUCGGGGGAAAGAUUUAUCGCCUUUAGAGCGGCCCGCGUCUGAUUAGCUAGUUGGUGAGGUAAAGGCUCACCAAGGCUACGAUCAGUAGCUGGUCUGAGAGGAUGACCAGCCACAUUGGGACUGAGACACGGCCCAAACCCCUACGGGAGGCAGCAGUGGGGAAUCUUCCGCAAUGGGCGAAAGCCUGACGCAGCCAUGCCGCGUGGAUGAUGAAGGUCUUAGGAUUGUAAAAUCCUUUCACCGGUGAAGAUAAUGACUGUAGCCGGAGAAGAAGCCCCGGCUAACUUCGUGCCAGCAGCCGCGGUAACAC
rnacentral:rRNA from 1 species